AUCUACGGCCAUACCACCCUUAAUGCUCCUGAUCUCGUCUGAUCUCGGAAGCUAAGCAGGGUUGGGCCUGGUUAGUACUUGGAUGGGAGAAUUGUGUAUUAGCCAAGAUGUGGAAU
rnacentral:rRNA from 1 species